CGUCUAUAUACGUAUAGCAUAUCAAUAAGCGGAGGAAAAGAAACUAACUAGGAUUCCCUCAGUAACGGCGAGUGAAGCGGGAAGAGCUCAAAUUUGAAAUCUUCAAGGUUUUACCUUGACGAAUUGUAGUUUAAAGAAGUGUUUUCUGUUGGAAGUUUUGGUAAAAGUUCUUUGGAAAUAGGACAUCAUAGAGGGUGAGAAUCCCGUAUUUGACCAUUAUUUCCAACUUUGUGAUACACUUUCAAAGAGUCGGAUUGUUUGGGAAUGCAGUCCAAAAUGGGCGGUAAAUUUCAUCUAAAGCUAAAUAUUGGCGAGAGACCGAUAGCGAACAAGUACCGUGAGGGAAAGAUGAAAAGAACUUUGAAAAGAGAGUUAAACAGUACGUGAAAUUGUCAAAAGGAAAGCGUUUGACACCAGUGUUGUUUUCUCGAAAAUCAAUUAAAAAUGGUGGGAUUUUGUGUUGUAUUGACUUUAUCAGCUUUCUGCACUUUUUUCCUGUCUUUUUUAAUGCACUUUUCGUUUAACAAGUCAACAUCAAUUUCUUUUGUUGUAAAAGGGUCAUUGGAAGGUGGCUUUCUUUUCGGAGAAAGUGUUUAUAGCCUUUGACUUCUGCAAUCGGAGAGAUUGAGGUCUGCAGCGUAGAUCCUUCGGGGUUAGAUGCAUUUGUGCUAAGUUAUAGCCUUUCAUAGACAACUUGUUGACUAUGAUCAGUCAUGUAGCUUACUCGCUUAUGUUAUUUUACCUACGCUUAGGAUGUUGAUCUGUAGUGCGUGCGCU
rnacentral:rRNA from 1 species